rnacentral:rRNA from 1 species
CCUACGGGUGGCAGCAGUGAGGAAUAUUGGUCAAUGGACGAGAGUCUGAACCAGCCAAGUAGCGUGAAGGAUGACUGCCCUAUGGGUUGUAAACUUCUUUUAUAUGGGAAUAAAAUGUUCCACGUGUGGGAUUUUGUAUGUACCAUAUGAAUAAGGAUCGGCUAACUCCGUGCCAGCAGCUGCGGUAAUACGGCGGAUCCGAGCGUUAUCCGGAUUUAUUGGGUUUAAAGGGAGCGUAGGUGGAUUGUUAAGUCAGUUGUGAAAGUUUGCGGCUCAACCGUAAAAUUGCAGUUGAAACUGGCAGUCUUGAGUACAGUAGAGGUGGGCGGAAUGCGUGGUGUAGCGGUGAAAUGCUUAGAUAUCACGAAGAACUCCGAUUGCGAAGGCAGUUCACUGGACUGCAACUGACACUGAGGCUCGAAAGUGUGGGUAUCAAACAGGAUUAGAUACCCGAGUAGUC